CCAAGGAGUCUAAUUAGGCAUCAAGUCGAUCGGUCUUGAAUAGGCCAGACUGGAACUAUAUGUUCUGAAUGAAGGCACAGAGAAAUCAAAUCAUGUGAUCAUUUCAACAAUACCAGUUGAUUUGCGCAACAUGUACCUGCUCGUAUAGCAAUGUGCAGCAAUGUACUUGCUGGGCGGAGUAAAGAGAUGCUUGAUUGGUACCCGAAAGAUGGUGAACUAUGCUUGGGCAAAUUGAAGCCAGAGGAAACUCUGGUGGAGGAUUGUAGCGAUUCUGACGUGCAAAUCGAUCGUCAGACCUGAGUAUAGGGGCGAAAGACUAAUCGAACCAUC
rnacentral:rRNA from 1 species